GUCCAGUGGUGUAGUGGUAAGGAGCAAGGCUCAUAACCAAAAGGUUGCUGGUUCAAUUCCACUCUAGGGCA